rnacentral:rRNA from 1 species
GAUGAACGCUGGCGGCGUGCCUAAUACAUGCAAGUCGAACGAAACUUCUUUAUCACCGAGUGCUUGCACUCACCGAUAAAGAGUUGAGUGGCGAACGGGUGAGUAACACGUGGGCAACCUGCCCAAAAGAGGGGGAUAACACUUGGAAACAGGUGCUAAUACCGCAUAACCAUAGUUACCGCAUGGUAACUAUGUAAAAGGUGGCUAUACUACCGCUUUUGGAUGGGCCCGCGGCGCAUUAGCUAGUUGGUAGGGUAAAGGCUUACCAAGGCAAUGAUGCGUAGCCGAAUUGAGAGGUUGAUCGGCCACAUUGGGACUGAGACACGGCCCAAACUCCUACGGGAGGCAGCAGUAGGGAAUCUUCCACAAUGGGCGAAAGCCUGAUGGAGCAACGCCGCGUGGGUGAAGAAGGUCUUCGGAUCGUAAAACCCUGUUGUUAGAGAAGAAAGUGCGUGAGAGUAACUGUUCACGUUUCGACGGUAUCUAACCGGAAAGCCACGGCUAACUACGU